rnacentral:rRNA from 1 species
CUACGGGGGGCUGCAGACGCGGAUCCUCUGCAAUGCACGCAAGUGUGAUAGGGGGAUCCCUCGUGUUGGCGUUAUGCGUCAACUUUUCUAGAGUGUAAGUUGCUUUAGGAAUAAGGGGUGGGCAAGACCGGUGCCAGCCGCCGCGGUAAUCCCGGCGCCCCAAGUGGUAGUCAUUUUUAUUGGGCCUAAAGCAUCCGUAGCCUGUUAGCUAAGUUUCUAGUAAAAUCUAGCAGCUCAACUGUUAGCGUGCUGGAAAUACUGGCUGGCUUGGGAUCGGGAGAAGCUAGAGGGAUGCCAUGGGGAGUGGUAAAAUGCUGUAAUCCAUGGUAGACCAUCAGUGGCGAAGGCGUCUAGCUAGAACGAGUCCGACGGUGAGGGAUGAAAGCUAGGGGAGCAAACCGGAUUAGAUACCCCUGUAGUC